GAGAGCAAGAAAGAGGUAGUGACAAAAAAAAAUUAUAAAGAAAAAAAAAUAAGAAUAAUAAAAAAAAAAAAUAAAAAAUAUUUUUUUUUAUAAAAAAGAUCAAAAAAAAAUUGAAAAAGAAAGAAGAUGAUAAAAUUGUACUGUUAAAAUAAGAUUACAUUGUUUUAAAAAAAUUUUACACUAUUUUAAUGAAAGUUAUACUAUUUGAUAUAAAAAUUAUACUUUUUUGGAAUAAACUUUACACUCUUUAGGUCAAAAUUGCACUCUUUAAAAAAAUUUUGCACUAUUUCUUUUCUUCUUUUUUUUUUUUCUUUC
rnacentral:lncRNA from 1 species